GUGUCAGCCGCCGCGGUAAAACGUAGGAGACAAGCGUUAUCCGGAGUUACUGGGCGUAAAGGGCGUGCAGGCGGCGCAUUAAGUCUGUUGUGAAAGCGCCUGGCUUAACCGGGCGAGGCCAAUGGAGACUGAUGGGCUAGAGGACGGCGGAGGGGUGUGGAAUUCCGGGUGUAGUGGUGAAAUGCGUAGAGAUCCGGAGGAACACCAGAGGCGAAGGCGGCACCCUAAGCCGUACCUGACGCUGAGACGCGACAGCACGGGGAGCAAACGGGAUUAGAAACCCUGGUAGUCC
rnacentral:rRNA from 1 species